rnacentral:rRNA from 1 species
UUGUGAACGUUAAAUCUAUUGCUUAGUUACUAAUAGUUAUUUUCUUUAAAAUUUAAGAUUUUGGCGGUAUUUUAGUCUAUUUAGAGGAACCUGUCCUAUAAUCGAUAAUCCACGAUUAAAUUUACCAAAAUUUUUAAUUUAUAUAUCGUCGUAGUUGAAUAUUUCAUUAGAAUUUAAAUAUUCAAGAUUUUAAAUAAGAAAAUAAAUCAGAUCAAGGUAUAGUUUAUAUUUUGGAAGAGAUGGGUUACAUUAAAUUUAUUUUUGGAUAGAAAAAUUUAAAUUUUCUUGAAAUUGGAUUUAAAAGUAAUUUUUAAAUAUUUAAAAAAUGAUUUUAGCUCUAAAAUAUG